GAUGAAGAACGUAGCGAAAUGCGAUAAGUAAUGUGAAUUGCAGAAUUCAGUGAAUCAUCGAAUCUUUGAACGCACAUUGCGCCCGCCAGUAUUCUGGCGGGCAUGCCUGUUCGAGCGUCAUUUCAACCCUCAAGCCCCAGCGGCCUGGUGUUGGGGACCGGCGACCUCGCCCGAGCCCGCCCUCCGGGGCGCGUGCCCGGUGCGUCCGCCGCCCCCGAAAUGAAUUGGCGGCCUCGUCGCGGCCUCCUCUGCGUAGUAGCACAACCUCGCAAGCGGGAGCGCGACGCGGCCACUGCCGUAAAACGCCCAACUUUUUUAGAGUUGACCUCGGAUCAGGUAGGAAUACCCGCUGAACUUAAGCAUAUCAAUAAGCGGAGGA
rnacentral:misc_RNA from 1 species